rnacentral:rRNA from 1 species
UACGAAGGGGGCUAGCGUUGUUCGGAAUUACUGGGCGUAAAGCGUGCGCAGGCGGCUGCUCAAGUCAGGGGUGAAAGCCCAGAGCUCAACUCUGGAAUUGCCUUUGAGACUGAGUGGCUUGAGUACGGGAGAGGUGAGUGGAAUUCCCAGUGUAGAGGUGAAAUUCGUAGAUAUUGGGAAGAACACCGGUGGCGAAGGCGGCUCACUGGCCCGUAACUGACGCUCAGGCACGACAGCGUGGGGAUCAAACAGG